rnacentral:rRNA from 1 species
GAAUUCGCCCUUAGAGUUUGAUUCCUGGCUCAGGAUGAACGCUGGCGGCACGCCUAACACAUGCAAGUCGAGCGGGGAUAAGGAUGCUUGCAUCAUUAUCCUAGUGGCGGACGGGUGAGUAACACGUGAGCAACCUGCCUCUCAGAGGGGGAUAACGUUUGGAAACGAACGCUAAUACCGCAUGAAAUAUUGGCAUCGCAUGGUGCUGAUAUCAAAGGAGCAAUCCGCUGAGAGAUGGGCUCGCGUCCGAUUAGAUAGUUGGCGGGGCAACGGCCCACCAAGUCAACGAUCGGUAGCCGGACUGAGAGGUUGAACGGCCACAUUGGGACUGAGACACGGCCCAGACUCCUACGGGAGGCAGCAGUGGGGGAUAUUGCACAAUGGGGGAAACCCUGAUGCAGCGAUGCCGCGUGAGUGAAGACGGCCUUCGGGUUGUAAAGCUCUGUCGCAGGGGACGAAAAUGACGGUACCCUGCAAGAAAGCUUCGGCUAACUCCGUGCCAGCAGCCGCGGUAAUACGGAGGAUGCGAGCGUUAUCCGGAUUUAUUGGGUUUAAAGGGUGCGUAGGUGGUUAAUUAAGUCAGCGGUGAAAGUUUGUGGCUCAACCAUAAAAUUGCCGUUGAAACUGGUUGACUUGAGUAUAUUUGAGGUAGGCGGAAUGCGUGGUGUAGCGGUGAAAUGCAUAGAUAUCACGCAGAACUCCGAUUGCGAAGGCAGCUUACUAAACUAUAACUGACACUGAAGCACGAAAGCGUGGGGAUCAAACAGGAUUAGAUACCCUGGUAGUCCACGCAGUAAACGAUGAUUACUAAGCUGUUUGCCAUACACAGUAAGCGGCACAGCGAAAGCGUUAAGUAAUCCCCCGGGGGAGUACGCCGGCAACGGUGAAACUCAAGGGAAAUUGACGGGGGCCCGCCCAAGCGGAGGAACAUGUGGUUUAAUUCGAUGAUACGCGAGGAACCUUACCCCGGGGUUUGAACGCAUAUUGACAGCUCUGGAAACAGAGUCUCUAGUAAUAGCAAUUUGCGAGGUGCUGCAUGGUUGUCGUCAGCUCGUGCCGUGAGGUGUCGGCUUAAGUGCCAUAACGAGCGCAACCCUUAUCACUAGUUACUAACAGGUCAUGCUGAGGACUCUAGUGAGACUGCCAGCGUAAGCUGUGAGGAAGGUGGGGAUGACGUCAAAUCAGCACGGCCCUUACAUCCGGGGCGACACACGUGUUACAAUGGUGGGGACAAAGGGCAGCUACCGUGUGAGCGGAUGCUAAUCUCCAAACCUCAUCUCAGUUCGGAUCGAAGUCUGCAACCCGACUUCGUGAAGCUGGAUUCGCUAGUAAUCGCGCAUCAGCCAUGGCGCGGUGAAUACGUUCCCGGGCCUUGCACACACCGCCCGUCA